CACACUCACCUGGGCUGCGUUAGCUAAUCAGCCCAGGUGCUUAUAGGUGUGCUGCUCUCCACAGUUCAGGGCCCAGAUCAGGAGCUCACACUGAGAGUGAAUUUCUUUAUUCUUAUUCCCCCUCCACUGGCGUGUUACACGCUAUAACAACUGUAAACUAAUAAAAUAACCAUGUAUUAUCUCAAAGUUCCUAAAAUGAGUCCUAUUGUCAGCUGAACAUUGCUAUAAUACACAUGAACCUGUCCCAGGUUGGUGAACACAAUUAGGCACACAUUUGAAAUGUGACCUAAGACAUGUUGCUGGAUGUCUCAUUCUGAUAAGUCACUGUUCACGUGCAUGGAUGAGCUCCAUGGUCAGGUAUCUAUUAAGGCACUGUUCUAGUGAAUGGAUGGGCCCCACGCACUGGUUUUGAAUCUAGACCAUGCCAGCACUAACUGGGUGGCAGUCAAUAAUAAAAAUGUGCAGCUGAAAGCUUAAUCGCGGCCAGGCUUCCAGGGGGUGGUGUCGGAACUGACUGCAGACCGGGGGGGAGACAAGAAUUCAUCAAACUAACAGCAAAUUCUUUCAAUCAAUCACUCAGACUGGAUUAUAUUGUCCAGUCAGGACCACAAAAAGAUCUGCAGAAAUAAUUUGAAAACUGGGUAUUUGGAAACCCUACCUGUGAACCAAACGUCUGGAGGACACUUAUUCUGCUUUGCAUAGCUGGGAAAUGUAUGACUGAUAUCACAGAAAUGAACGUAAUGGGUCAUUUACACAAGCCGUGAGACCCAUAACAGGGAACGUUGUUCUUUUCCGGCUUUGAAGUCGGGUCAUCUCCCAAGGGUCUCCGGGGCGAAGAGAUGUUUAACAGCCCCGCUCCCCAGAGGCCGGGAGCGCACGAGGGCAACUAGAAGGACGAGGUCAUUGUUUUAACAAUCCAUGGUCCUUAAGAAAAGGGCUUCUCUUCUGUUUAUCACAGAACAGUUAGAAUCAUACACAGAAUGAAGAGACUUUCCACACAGAUGGAGUAACAGGCCAAAAGCUGCGCCAGCUUGGUCAGCUGUUCUGUCAUUUGCUACAACCAAAACUCUUUGUUUAAAAAAAGACACGCCGCCUUAGGCAGCAUGUUGCUCAAGACUCAACAAAGAUAAAAUGUGUAUCUGUGAAUGUGUUUGGACGGAGGGAGGUCACGGACGAUACUGCGAUACAGGGCUUUAUUUUUUUGGCAAAUACAUACAAACAACAAGAAGCCUCAGACUAUGAAAAUGAAAUAUGGUCUCCUCUGUGCCUUUAAAUGCCUUUAAAAUUGCACUUCAGUGUUUAAUUAUGUUUUUCUAUAAAUAAUGCUGUCUCAAAUCUCUGAUCCUGUUUAAUUUUGAAACCUGCCUGAUCACUUCUGAGUUUUGUUUUGACCUCCUAAGAAAAAAAAAUAUAUAGUAUUGUAGUACACUUGAGCAUAGUAAAACAGCUGUUUUCCCCAAAGUGGUCUGUAGAAUGAACAAUGGUAUUUUUAAAACUUGAUCAAGGCAAAAUAUUUAUGUCAUCUAUGGACAGAGAAUAAGAUAAUUAAUUAAUGUGAAUUACUUAAUUAAUCAAUCACGUGAUUAAUUAAUGGA